GACGAACGCUGGCGGCGUGCUUAACACAUGCAAGUCGAACGAUGAAGAAAAGAAUUGCAGCUUCGGCAGAAAUUCAUUUCGGAUUAGUGGCAGACGGGUGAGUAACGCGUGAGCAACCUACCUCUUACAAAGGGAUAGCCUCGGGAAACCGGGAUUAAUACCAUAUAACAUUGCGACGAAGCAUUUCGAUGCAAUCAAAGCUACGGCGGUAAGAGAUGGGCUCGCGUCCCAUUAACCAGAUGGUGAGGUAACGGCUCACCAUAGUAACGAUGGGUAACCGGCCUGAGAGGGUGAACGGUCACACUGGAACUGAGACACGGUCCAGACUCCUACGGGAGGCAGCAGUGGGGAAUAUUGCACAAUGGAGGGAACUCUGAUGCAGCGACGCCGCGUGAGUGAUGAAGGAAUUCGUUUCGUAAAACUCUGUUCUAUGGGAAGAAAAGGACUGUACCAUAGGAGAAAGCGCCGGCUAAAUACGUG
rnacentral:rRNA from 1 species